rnacentral:rRNA from 1 species
AGACGUCUACAUUAGAUACCCGGGUAGUCCCAGCCGUAAACUAUGCGCGUUAGGUGUAUCGGUGACCACGAGUUACCGAGGUGCCGAAGGGAAACCGUGAAACGUGCCGCCUGGGAAGUACGGUCGCAAGGCUGAAACUUAAAGGAAUUGGCGGGGAGCACCACAACAGGUGGAGCCUGCGGUUUAAUUGGAUUCAACGCCGGACAUCUCACCGGAUAAGACAGCUGAAUGAUUGUCAAUCUGAAGGUUUUACAUGACUAGCUG